rnacentral:rRNA from 1 species
UGCCAGACUCCUACGGGAGGCAGCAGUGAGGAAUAUUGGUCAAUGGGCGGGAGCCUGAACCAGCCAAGUCGCGUGAGGGAAGACGGCCCUAUGGAUUGUAAACCUCUUUAGGCGGGGAGCAAUGCCGGGCACGCGUGCCCGGAGGGAGAGUACCCGCAGAAUAAGCAUCGGCUAACUCCGUGCCAGCAGCCGCGGUAAUACGGAGGAUGCGAGCGUUAUCCGGAUUUAUUGGGUUUAAAGGGUGCGCAGGCGGAGGUGCAAGUCAGCGGUCAAAUUGCGGGGCUCAACCCCGUACUGCCGUUGAAACUGGCAGUCUCGAGUUGGAGAGAAGUAUGCGGAAUGCGCGGUGUAGCGGUGAAAUGCAUAGAUAUCGCGCAGAACUCCGAUUGCGAAGGCAGCAUGCCGGCUCCACACUGACGCUGAGGCACGAAAGCGUGGGUAUCGAACAGGAUUAGAUACCCGUGUAG